GGGCGUCAAACUCAAUUUCACUAAAGGUCACACUGAAAAUUGAGAAUCUCAUCAAGGGACAGAUAGGUAUAGUUUAUUG